rnacentral:lncRNA from 1 species
CCAAAUCCAAAGCAAUAUAAUUCAGUUGACUGCAUAAAUCAAGCACUUACGACCAAUUACCCAAAUCCAAAGCAAUAUAAUGAUAUUUUUUUCCAUUAAAUGGGGUCAAAAGCAAUAUACAUUUGCCUUGACAUCAUAUCUUAGUAGUACAAAAGAAUCUGAGAUCUCGGUAGGCACAGUACUAGGCACUAGCACAAAAGAAUAGCGACAGCAAUAACACCAAAUCGACACAUCUUGGAUGGAGGCACCGGUCGCCCGCCGCUCCAGCGGGUGAGCGCGGAGGCUCGCCGCUCAGACAUGGUAGGCGUCGGCCCAGUUCUUGGCGCGGCGGAGGUCGUCCUCGCCGUCGUCGUCCUCGUCAAGGCGCAGGGAGAAGGCGAGCGCGAGGGCGGCCCACUCGAGGACGAAGAUGGCGGUGCCGAGCCCGCCGACCAUCUUGAGGAUGACGGCGCCGUCGUCGUCGCGGACGUAGGACUGGAGCUCGGCGAGGAAGUCGGCGGUGCGGGUGAAAGCGAGGAGCGCGACGGCGCCCUGGAAGAUGGCGGUGAGCGCNNN